CAAUAGCGUAUAUUAAAGUUGUUGCAGUUAAAAAGCUCGUAGUUGAAUUUUUGCUUGCCGCCGAUGUCGGAACUUCCGUACGUUCGGCGGCGUGCAUCCUUGGGUGGAACCUGUGUGGCAUUAGGUUGUCGUGCAGGGGAUGCUCAUCGUUUACUGUGAAAAAAUUAGAGUGUUCAAAGCAGGCUUACGCCGUUGAAUAUAUUAGCAUGGAAUAAUAAGAUAGGACCUUGGUACUAUUUUGUUGGUUUGCGCACCGAGGUAAUGAUUAACAGGGACAGUUGGGGGUAUUCGUAUUCCAUUGUCAGAGGUGAAAUUCUUGGAUUUCUGGAAGACGAACUACUGCGAAAGCAUUUACCAAGGAUGUUNCAUUAA
rnacentral:rRNA from 1 species